rnacentral:tRNA from 1 species
GCUAGGUUGGCUCAGUGGUAGAGCGUUGCGUAUACUGAGAGGUUUAUACCUCAACGCAAAGGUCCAGGGUUUGAAUCUGACCUGUGA